rnacentral:rRNA from 1 species
GCGACCCCAGGACGGGCGAGGCCACCCGCCGAGUUUAAGCAUAUCAAUAAGCGGAGGAGAGAACUU